GAAUGCUGACAUAAGUAACGAUAAAGCGGGUGAAAAGCCCGCUCGCCGGAAGACCAAGGGUUCCUGUCCAACGUUAAUCGGGGCAGGGUGAGUCGACCCCUAAGGCGAGGCCGAAAGGCGUAGUCGAUGGGAAACGGGUUAAUAUUCCCGUACUUGGUGUUACUGCGAAGGGGGGACGGAGAAGGCUAUGUUGGCCGGGCGACGGUUGUCCCGGUUUAAGCGUGUAGGUGUGUGUUCCAGGUAAAUCCGGUUCACUUUAACACUGAGGCGUGAUGACGAGGCACUACGGUGCUGAAGUAACAAAUGCCCUGCUUCCAGGAAAAGCCUCUAAGCAUCAGGUAACAUCAAAUCGUACCCCAAACCGACACAGGUGGUCAGGUAGAGAAUACCAAGGCGCUUGAGAGAACUCGGGUGAAGGAACUAGGCAAAAUGGUGCCGUAACUUCGGGAGAAGGCACGCUGACACGUAGGUGAAGUGAUUUACUCACGGAGCUGAAGUCAGUCGAAGAUACCAGCUGG
rnacentral:rRNA from 1 species